GGCUGGUUAGCUCAGCUAGUUAGAGCGUAGUGCUAAAAAUGCCAAGGUCAUGGGUUCAAUUCCCAUGCUAGCCA